rnacentral:rRNA from 1 species
UACAGAGGUCUCAAGCGUUGUUCGGAUUCAUUGGGCGUAAAGGGUGCGUAGGUGGCGCUGUAAGUCGGGUGUGAAAUUUCGGAGCUUAACUCCGAAACUGCAUUCGAUACUGCGGUGCUUGAGGACUGGAGAGGAGACUGGAAUUCAUGGUGUAGCAGUGAAAUGCGUAGAGAUCAUGAGGAAGACCAGUGGCGAAAGGCGGGUCUCUGGACAGUUCCUGACACUGAGGCACGAAGGCCAGGGGAGCAAACGGG